GACGAACGCUGGCGGCGUGCUUAACACAUGCAAGUCGAACGGAAAGGCCCUGCUUUUGUGGGGUGCUCGAGUGGCGAACGGGUGAGUAACACGUGAGUAACCUGCCCUUGACUUUGGGAUAACUUCAGGAAACUGGGGCUAAUACCGGAUAGGAGCUCCUGCUGCAUGGUGGGGGUUGGAAAGUUUCGGCGGUUGGGGAUGGACUCGCGGCUUAUGAGCUUGUUGGUGGGGUAGUGGCUUACCAAGGCUUUGACGGGUAGCCGGCCUGGGAGGGUGACCGGCCCCAAUGGGACUGAGAUACGGCCCAGACUCCUACGGGAGGCAGCAGUGGGGAAUAUUGCACAAUGGGCGGAAGCCUGAUGCAGCAACGCCGCGUGCGGGAUGACGGCCUUCGGGUUGUAAACCGCUUUCGCCUGUGACGAAGCGUGAGUGACGGUAAUGGGUAAAGAAGCACCGGCUAACUACGUG
rnacentral:rRNA from 1 species